ACAAGACUAUUUUAACAUUAACUAAAAAUUCAGUUUUUAAACCAACACGCCAGUUUCAUCACAUUCAGUUAAUUUUUGAAGGCUCUGGGGUAGCCCCAACCAGUGCCA
rnacentral:snRNA from 1 species